UUUCAAUGAUUCAUCUAGAAGGGAAUGUAUCCCACUGCAUAAUCCUCACACCAAGACGUGCAAACUUUUUGUUCACAGAGUGAACUGCUCCGAGAGGUGCAGGAGAAACAGCAUGGAGAAGGGAGGGUUGAGCUUGGAAAGAAUAUACUACCUGAUGCAUAGUAUCCAAGCAUAACUGGUAUUUAAGCAGAUAAGAAGAAACAAAGAUUCUUUGCUGGAUCUGUGCCUUGGAACAACUAUUCAUCCUGCUCCGUUUACCUGAGGCUAACAAGUUCCUUUCUUCACCUCUGUCUAGGUGGUAUCUCUAGAGACUGAUUUGCUAGAACAAGUGAGCAAAAGGACUUAAUUCAAAACCUCAUACAGGCAAGGAGAAUCUUUGCAUGGAUUUCCAGAUGCUAUAGACUCUCCUUAACAAAGACAGAAAUGAACGGAAUUCCAUUUUGGAAAGGCAUGAGAAACAGAUGCAAACAUGCAUGCACUGGGCAAGGCAUUCCCUGAAACCUCUUCAGUUGGAAGAGCAGAUUUAGAAAGACAUUUGAUGCUGGCAGCCUGUUGAAUUGCUACCACCAGGCACAGCAGGUUAUGAGAAAUUUGAUUCACUCUGGCCUGGAGAGGAGCUGAACUGGUGGCAUAGCAGUGAACAAAGCUUUUCAGAGGAUCCAAGUAGCAGAGCUGUCUCUGCAUGAAGGAUUCUCAAAUCCAUCCACUGGGAAGAGAGGUAUGUGGGACUCGUGUGUAAGGCUCUUCCACCCCUGGCCCCAGCGGCAGGCUGAGAUGUUCUUCACAGGGCGGUCAGCCAGCUGUUGUCUCCAUGGACUUCCCCAGCACUGUGAUGCCUUUCCAGUAUUAAAAUGAGCCCAUCAUCUGCUGGCUGCUUUGGAGUGAGGAGAAAUAACCUUGAAAGGCUCUGAUCAUCUGCUGUUCGUCUUAUGCACAUGCCUGUACAAGCUAUGAGGAGCUGAAGAGUCAGUGCUUUACUCCGUCUUGAUUUCCUCAUCCAUAAAACAGUGAUCAAGACCUUGUCGUUUGCUCACAAGUAGCAGACUAGAGACCUUGUAUAAUAAAAUGAUACUGUUGUGAUAAUUUUCUGUAAUGUCAUUCCCUCUAUUUUUUCAAAAGUUCUCAUUUUCACCUAGUGUCUAUUUGCUAAGCUCCAAAGAGUGAUUGUGAUGUGGCAUGCAUUUUCUUACAUUGAUUAUAUGGUCAUAUACAAGGACAUAUCAUAAAAAUCUUGAACCUGAAACAGAAAGGACAGCACAGAUUUUGCAUUUAAAUCUGGUCUUCAGCCAUA